rnacentral:rRNA from 1 species
UACGGAGGGUGCGAGCGUUGUCCGGAAUCAUUGGGCGUAAAGGGCGCGUAGGUGGCCCGAUCAGUUCGUGGUGAAAGCGCGGGGCUCAACCCUGCGUCGGCCAUGAAUACUGCCGCGGCUGGAGCACUGUAGAGGCAGGCGGAAUUCCGGGUGUAGCGGUGGAAUGCGUAGAGAUCCGGAAGAACACCGGUGGCGAAGGCGGCCUGCUGGGCAGUUGCUGACACUGAGGCGCGACAGCGUGGGGAGCAAACAGG